rnacentral:rRNA from 1 species
UACGUAGGGUGCGAGCGUUGUCCGGAAUUAUUGGGCGUAAAGAGCUUGUAGGCGGUUUGUCGCGUCUGCUGUGAAAAUCCGGGGCUCAACCCCGGACUUGCAGUGGGUACGGGCAGACUAGAGUGUGGUAGGGGAGACUGGAAUUCUGGUGUAGCGGUGGAAUGCGCAGAUAUCAGGAGGAACACCGAUGGCGAAGGCAGGUCUCUGGGCCGAUACUGACGCUGAGGAGCGAAAGCGUGGGGAGCAAACAGG